ensembl:lncRNA
AUAAGUUCUGCUGCAGUCUUAAAAGUGCCACUUCUUUCAUCACAGGAAGUUUUACAACACUAUAAUUCUCAGCAAACAGUGUUAGUUUCAGUUAGCUCAAGGAAGAGGAACCAAAAGCAGGACUAAAAACAAGCAGCGCUGUAAAGGAAAGUAAAGAAGACCUUUAAUAAAUUAACACACACAAAAAAAUUAGCUGAUAUUAAAAUUUCAAAAAAGACAGGUAACCACAACUUGAAGAAGUAGUCUGAGGCUAAUUCUGGGAAUCAAAAUUCAGCCAGAUAACGCGCAGAUACAGCUUGCUAACCAUGCUAGCUAGUGUUAGCGAGUGACUUAGCGCUCUGCCCUUUAAUCCAAACAUGGUAACUUUGGUUUCAAAACAAGGAAGCUGGAGAUGCUUAGAUACUAAAAUUGAGCCUUCAAAACAGAACUUUACAUGGGUGAUGAUAUGGUUGCCAAGACAUCUUUAAACAAACACGGAGGAAGUAAACAAAACUGAGAGUGAGUAAAGUACUACGAUAACACUCAGAGAGCACGAACCUCCACCAAGGCAGCUCGCUCUCUUGACAGUAUUUACUUUGAAUGCAAUAGUGUAUUUAUUGUGUGUUGUAUCUAUUCAUUUUGUUUUCUUUGGUCUUUUUAAAUGUACUGUAGGAUGCUUGUAGUGCAUUAAAUCAAGUGCUAAGUGCAGGUUUAUGUUAUUUGCCCCCCUGUUGAAACCCAUUUCCAUUUGGGCGGGAGGGCACAUGUGUGUACAUGUGUAGCAUUCAUUUUACUGUUUGUUUAAUUAGUUUAAAUGUUUAAUGAAUAUCAGGUGAAAAGAGGAAAUCCCCUGCAUCAAAAAAAAAAAAUGAAAAAAGUAAAACUAAUACUUAUUCAGGAACAUGGUGCAUGUAUUCAAAUUGUUGUAUAUUUACACUGUUAUAACCUAUUAUUGUAAUGUAUAUAAAUCCAUAAUAAAAUGAAACAACUAUACACAAAAAAGUAUCCCAUGCCCACAUGUUCUUGUCAGAAACCUCUUAUUGUUUAUUGAGAGCAUUAUUAUCACAUUGACCUUCAGAUUAAUCUAUUAAACUCGAAAGAGUUCAAGUGUGACAUGAUAUUUUCUGAUCUUUGUAGGGUACUUUCUGGAUGUUGAAAACACACAACAUUUGUAAGACUGAUAGUUACUAAGUUAUAACCUUAGGUUAUAAGGUUCAAUUUUCAAUCAAUACUCAAUUAAUCAAUAAAGUGACUUUGAAGACCUUAGUGCAUGUACGGAUUAAUGGAUUGUUACCAUGACUCCACUCUACACCCCUACAAUGUUUAAUCAAAAUUCACUGAAACUUUUUUAAGCUAUUGUGUUUACAGACAGAAUCGCAAGUAAGCAACAUUACAAAAAAAUAACCUCCUUGGCAGAGGUAAGACUUCUUUUAUGAUUCCUUUUAUUUCAGAUUAAAUGAUUGUACUGGUGUUUUCCAUGUAAUACAGACAUUCUGAUAUCAGAUGUAUCUGCUAAUUCAUUACACUCCAUUUCCAUCUUCAGCUGGACACUGCCUCAACUCUAGUGAGUGCAGUGGGCAGUGGACACUGGAGAGGACAGUCAAUCAAUCAAUCAAUAACACAUGUUUGCUGAGGUUUCUCUAGUUGUUGUUCCUGAAUGGUAGGUACAGUGUCCUGGUCCCUCAGUCCUCCUGUCCUGCCUGCUCCAGGCUUUGCCUUCUCUCUGUCCUUCACUCUCUCCUCUCUGUGUGCUUGUGUGUCUGUGUCAAUGUUCAUGGGAAGGACUCAUUGUGGGUUCCCGCCUCUGGCUGAACACACCUGCAACAAUCAAUCACCUGUUCUCGAUGAUCUCGUUAAGAAGCACUAUUUAAGAGGGCGGCUGAGGUUCAUUCUUCUCUGGAUCGUUGAACUGUGCUACCUUCCCUGGAUUUUCCCUGUCCUGGAGUUCUUGGAGAGACUGCUUGAGCUGAGUCAGUGUGGAUCCCCUGUUCCCCCUUCGUACUACCUGUAUAUAUCACCCUGGCGUUUCACUGUAAAUAAAUGCACUAAACUUGA